rnacentral:snoRNA from 1 species
CCUGCCCAGGCACUGCAGAUGUGGCUGCUGUGUACCAUGUGCGUCAAUAGGUGGCACAGAGGGGAGAGGGUAUGCCUACACUCAAAGGUUCCUUACCCAUGAAUAUCUGAAUAAAUAACAGUCUAAUAUU